UACGUAGGGGGCUAGCGUUGUCCGGAAUCAUUGGGCGUAAAGCGCGUGUAGGCGGUCCGGUAAGUCCGCUGUGAAAGUCGGGGGCUCAACCCUCGGAUGCCGGUGGAGUACUGUCGGGCUUGAGUACGGAAGAGGCGAGUGGAAUUCCUGGUGUAGCGGUGAAAUGCGCAGAGUAUCAGGAGGAACACCAAUUGCGAAGGCAGCUCGCUGGG
rnacentral:rRNA from 1 species